rnacentral:tRNA from 1 species
ACGGGUGUAGCUCAAUGGCAGUGCAGAAGCCUUCCAAGCUUAUGACGAGGGUUCGAUACCCUUCACCGCUCC